rnacentral:rRNA from 1 species
AUACGAAGGGUGCAAGCGUUACUCGGAAUUACUGGGCGUAAAGCGUGCGUAGGUGGUUGUUUAAGUCUGUCGUGAAAGCCCUGGGCUCAACCUGGGAAUGGCGAUGGAAACUGGGCGACUAGAGUGUGGCAGAGGGUAGUGGAAUUCCUGGUGUAGCAGUGAAAUGCGUAGAGGUCAGGAGGAACAUCCGUGGCGAAGGCGACUGCCUGGGCCAACACUGACACGGAGGCACGAAAGCGUGGGGAGCAAACAGGAUUAGAUACCCUGGUAGUCCACGCCCUAAACGAUGCGAACUGGAUGUUGGGUGCAAUUUGGCACGCAGUAUCGAAGCUAACGCGUUAAGUUCGCCGCCUGGGGAGUACGGUCGCAAGACUGAAACUCAAAUGAAUUGACGGG